rnacentral:rRNA from 1 species
AACGAACGCUGGCGGCAUGCCUAACACAUGCAAGUCGAACGAGACUUUCGGGUCUAGUGGCGCACGGGUGCGUAACGCGUGGGAACCUGCCCUUAGGUUCGGAAUAACUCCCCGAAAGGGGUGCUAAUACCGGAUAAUGUCUUCGGACCAAAGAUUUAUCGCCUUUGGAUGGGCCCGCGUUGGAUUAGCUAGUUGGUAGGGUAAAAGCCUACCAAGGCGACGAUCCAUAGCUGGUCUGAGAGGAUGAGCAGCCACACUGGGACUGAGACACGGCCCAGACUCCUACGGGAGGCAGCAGUGGGGAAUAUUGGACAAUGGGCGAAAGCCUGAUCCAGCAAUGCCGCGUGAGUGAUGAAGGCCUUAGGGUUGUAAAGCUCUUUUACCCGGGAUGAUAAUGACAGUACCGGGAGAAUAAGCUCCGGCUAACUCCGUG